rnacentral:lncRNA from 1 species
AUGGAAGCGGGUAAUGGUGCAAUUAAUGGAAAAGCCAUUAGACCUUUCUCCUCCUCCCCCUCCUCUUCCUCACUCAGCCACUUGCUGUCCUCCUCCACUUCCACCUCCUUUCUUCUCUCCCUCUCCCCGCUCCUCCUCUCUCUCCUCUCAAAGAUUUCUCCCUAUUUUUGUCUGGUUAGAGCCUUUUCUUUUCCUUUUAACCCUACAGUUCCCCGGAGGGAAACUACAUCGGCCUCGUCAGCCCACGGCAACGCCUUCCGUGGCCACCCAGAGCCCCUGCUGCCGGGGCCCUUCUCCUCCUGCAAAAAUGACCAGAAAUGGGGUAAAACCCCAAAUGGGGGGCAGAAACUGGGCAGCUGCAAGGCUGGAGGUGGGGGUGCUGGCAGCAAGGCGUGCUUAGGGGGAAACCUUUCCCCCGAGGCCUCGGAUCUCGUUACUCCACUUUUAUUGCCCUUUUUCAUUUUUUUUCCCCCUUUUUUAAACCAAGGGCUCCCCUUGUGGCGUGUUUCAGGCCAAGCCGCUCUCCCCACAGAGGGGGUGACCCCCGGGUGCCGGCGAUCGGGGUCAGGCCCCCCCGGGGGACCCUGCUGCUGGCGGGGCGGUUCGGGGACCUGGGGACCUGCCACGGUUUCGCUGCCUUCUCCUGACACACUUCUGCUCCAUCCGCUGCCGCCCGCCCCGGUCUGCACCAGCCCGUCCCCACCCCCCCGCAGCCCCCCAGGGACGCUGCUGCAGGGCACCGGCAGGGCCUGGAUUUUUUUUUUUUNUUUAAUUUUUUUUUUUCGGGGGUGGGGGGGGAGCAGUUGCUGGGGCGACGGCAUCCUCCUGCAGCAUGGAAACCCAGGUUUCCAUGGAAACCCUUUUUGCCCCAGUUAUCCUGCCACCGCCACGUCCUUCAAUUUGCCUUCGGGGUUUGCAUUUUGGAUUUGCCCCCCGCCCCGUCCCCGCAGAGGUCGCGGGACCCCCGGGCAGCCCCCCCGGGGCCGGGUCCCCCAUCGGGGCCUCGGUCCCCAGGGCGGGCGGCGGGUUUGGGAUGCAGUUGCCCAGGCAACAGAAGCAGGGCGUUCCUGGCAGCGGUGGUCGCCAUGGGGACGGGGAUGCUGA